GGAAGUUAUAGCUCGGUGGCAGAGCAUCAAUUUUGCAUGCAGAAGGUUCCAGGCUCGAUCCCUGGCGUUUCCG